AAAUCUCAUAUUUCAACUUUUGUCAGGAACAGGAGCAGCGAAAAAGUGCCCAGUCUUGCGGGGAUGAGAGAUGGGAAAGGCAGAGCGGUGCAUGCGAGGCGAUCGGCACGGCAUGAACGGAGGAGAGAGACGCGCCGCCAAACACGUCUCCCGUGCAGGGAGACGCGGGACGAAACGCAGGUCCUGCGCAGACAGACGCGGGGCGAAAAACAGGUCUUUUGCAGAGGGACGAGGGACGAAACACAGGCGUGCCGGAGGGGUGGCUCCUUUGAUGCUCCCAGGCGACAGAAAAAGCCUGGUGAUUCGAUGACGAUGGCGAUGAAGAUGAGGUCGAAAACAUGCAGCUAUAACCCCAACAAGGCUACAUCUGGAAUUGACAGGAUUCUUUGUUUCCUGGGAGGACAGAGAAAAUCCCAGGAAUCUGAAGAUGGCCAACUCCUGGGAAAAUGAGCAACCCUAAACAGAACACGUCAGACAGCACACCUGUGUCUGGAAGGGCAGAGGUGGUGGUUCCCUCUGCUGAGAUCCAGCUUGUGACCAUCGUGUGUGGUAUAAAAAGCAUCGUAUCCUGGCUCAGUGCUGAGGAGGGCAUUCAUGUCUAGUGUUGAAACAAAAAAUUAAAACAAAAUGUCGCCCUGCUCGUCUUGUUAUAGUAGCAAACCUCGUCAGACAUUUUAAACACAUUUUUGGCUACAUGCAAAAGCAGUUUGAUGUGAAAGUUAAAUUUUCUACAGAUUAUAAUUUAAUUGGUAUUGUGUGUCCAAUUGUCUAUGAUAAACAAUGCUGAUGAAUUAA